CCGAGGCAGCCCGCUAGGGAGAGAGGUAAGAGGCGGGCGGGGAGACGAGAGAGGAAAGAAGAGAGGAAAGAAGAGAGGAGGGGCCGGGCCGGAGCUAGGCUGGAGGGAGGAGAGGCGGAGCCUCUUCCGUACGUGCCAGGAGGCUGCGGCGCGGGCAAUGGGGGGGGGGGAGUAGCUAGGAGGGGAGGGGGGAGCCUCGGCGUCGGCGCGUCGCCUUGCUGGGCCGCGGCCGGUGGUCAGGAGGGAGAGAGGAGGAGGAGGAGGAGGAGAAGGAGGAGGAGGAUAUGGUACAACACCUAAGAUUACUCCUUUCAUGUCCAGGACAGCUUUGAGAAAAAGGAAUUCCUCACAGCAGGGUAAGGAAAUGAGUGGCAUACAGUGUCCCAUAGGGCAAAGUUUCAUAGUGAAAAUUUUUUUUUCUCAUUGAAGUUGCUUUAAAACUUAAUGUUCCAUUAUUAGUGGUAAUAUAUUCUUGAGCUUGGGCUAGAGUAAUCCUUUUUCUUUUUCCUAGAAAGAAAACGAAAUGGUGGUAGCAGAAUAAAAUAGUGUUAUAAAAUUUUCUAUAGAACA
rnacentral:lncRNA from 1 species